GGACAAGAGAGUGUUGAGUUGUUCAUAUCGGGAUACCUCCUUUGUCAAGAGUUGGUUGGGGGGUGUCCCCUCUUUAAAGGAUAAUGCGGUUUUUGGAAAGUUUCAAUACUUUUAGUUAACAUUAUCA
rnacentral:rRNA from 1 species